GGGUUGUGAGGUUAAGCGACUAAGCGUACACGGUGGAUGCCCUGGCAGUCAGAGGCGAUGAAGGACGUGCUAAUCUGCGAUAAGCGCCGGUAAGGUGAUAUGAACCGUUAUAACCGGCGAUUUCCGAAUGGGGAAACCCAGUGUGACUCGUCACACUAUCAUUAACUGAAUCCAUAGGUUAAUGAGGCGAACCGGGGGAACUGAAACAUCUAAGUACCCCGAGGAAAAGAAAUCAACCGAGAUUCCCCCAGUAGCGGCGAGCGAACGGGGAGGAGCCCAGAGCCUGAAUCAGCAUGUGUGUUAGUGGAAGCGUCUGGAAAGGCGCGCGAUACAGGGUGA
rnacentral:rRNA from 1 species